CGGCGUGCCUAAUACAUGCAAGUCGAGCGAACCGAUGAAGAGCUGCUCUUCAAAGGUGAGCGGCGGACGGGUGAGUAACACGUGGGCAACCUGCCUGCAAGAUCGGGAUAACUCCGGGAAACCGGGGCUAAUACCGGAUAAUGCAUUUCGCUGCAUGGCGGAAUGCUAAAAGGCGGCUUCGGCUGUCACUUGCAGAUGGGCCCGCGGCGCAUUAGCUAGUUGGGGAGGUAACGGCUCCCCAAGGCGACGAUGCGUAGCCGACCUGAGAGGGUGAUCGGCCACACUGGGACUGAGACACGGCCCAGACUCCUACGGGAGGCAGCAGUAGGGAAUUUUCCGCAAUGGGCGCAAGCCUGACGGAGCAACGCCCGCGUGAGUGAGGACGGCUUUCGGGUUGUAAAACUCUGUUCUUCGGGAAGAACGGCGGUCGGGUGAAUAGCCCGAUUGCGUGACGGUACCGAAGGAGAAAGCCCCGGCUAACUACGUGCCAGCAGCCGC
rnacentral:rRNA from 1 species